CGAGCGCACCCCUAUCCCUAUUUGCUAGCAGUCCGGCUGAGAACUCUAGGGAGACUGCCGGUGACAAACCGGAGGAAGGUGGGGACGACGUCAAGUCAUCAUGGCCCUUACGACCAGGGCUACACACGUGCUACAAUGGCCGGUACAGAGGGCUGCAAUAUCGCGAGAUGGAGCUAAUCCCACAAAACCGGUCGUAGUCCGGAUUGGAGUCUGCAACUCGACUCCAUGAAGUCGGAAUCGCUAGUAAUCGUGAAUCAAAAUGUCACGGUGAAUACGUUCCCGGGCCUU
rnacentral:rRNA from 1 species